GGGUCCCAACGGCGCCCGUCUGUGAAGGGACCCCUCCUGAGAAGCACCUCCUCUCCGACCAGCGCCAGGACAAGGCACCGCAAGACGCAGCCGCGACCUGGCCUCCGGCCACCUCGCGGGCGAUGCCCUGUGAAAAGAUGACACCCCUCGGUCUCGAAAGCCUCCUUUUGAAUUGAAGUAGUUUAGCUGCGACUCUCUUCCAAACACUCAGGCAAAGUCUCCACCCUGAGUCCAGAACAGGGAACUCGCAUCCUCUCAGCGGACCCUGGAGCCAGGCUCGCUGAGCUGUGUGUCCCCAAAGCUUUGGGGAUGGGGCACUCCCAGAAGACUCGAUGGGCCUCACAGCUUGGAACCCUGGACUCGCACUCAGUCCACUGAGCCACUGAGCCCACCCUGGCGCCCAUGGCGCAUGCACUCUGGGGACUUUUUCCUGAGGCCAAAGCCCUCUCUACCCACCUCCCGCCCCCAGCGAGAGGAGCUGAAUUCGAGUCAGGUUAGCACCAAGAUGGGACUGCCUCUGCCUGUGUCAGAGCCCUGCCCCUGUCCCCCCGACCCUGGCCAUGACCCUUGACCUCCUCAAACCUUAAUAUUCUCAUUGGCAAAACGGGAAGAUUAACUGCAGGGCCCGUUGUGCAGCGAGACCCCGGGGCCUUUCAGGACUGGCCGCUCAAGUUCUUUCUCCCUAAAGAGCCCUUCCUGGCUCCUCCCCAGUCUGGUCUCUGCUCAAGCAGCGCCCCUGGGAGUGGUCUUUCCUGAUCGCCCCGCUAAGGUCGCCCCAAGCCCACGUUUUCCUCUCACGGCCUUAGCCUCGUCCAGCGCGCUCCCAGUGUCAGGUGACUGCGCUCCACCCCAGUCUGCUCCAUCCUAGGUGCUGAGAAGUUGUGGCUCAGUAACCAGACUGACCAGUAUCCACGAGGACUCAGGUUCGAUCCCUGGCCUUGCCCCGUGGGUUAAGGAUCCAUCAUUGCCAUGAGCUCUGGCGUAGGUUGCAGACGCAGCUCGGGCCCAGCAUUGCUGUGGGUGUGGUGUAGGCCGGCAGCUACGGCUCCAAUUCGACCCCUAGUCUGGGAACCUCUAUAUGCUGCAGAUGCAACCCUGAAAAGCAAAAAAAAGGAGAAGUUGGGGGGCACGAAGUAGGGGUGCAGUCGUAUCUCUUGAGUGGCGGGAUGGCGAUGGUGUCUGUUAGGGACGUCCUGCCCGCCCAGCCUUGGCGGAAGCUCCCCAGCCAGGCGAGGAGCGAGGCCCUGGGGCGGGCAGUGUCUUGGCCUGCCCUGCCUGGCUGGUAGGACAAAGGGCUCUGGGGGCCCUGACAGAGGUGGUGGGGCAGGGAGAGGGGUGGAUGCAGAAGCAGAG
rnacentral:lncRNA from 1 species